AUGUCAGGAGGACAUCUCCUAAUCAGUUGCUUGUACCUUUCCCAAGCUUCAUAGAGGGAUUCACCUUCUUUUUUCUAAAGGUUUGAACUUUCACCCUGAGCUU